rnacentral:rRNA from 1 species
GACGAACGCUGGCGGCGUGCUUAACACAUGCAAGUCGAACGGAAAGGCCCUGCUUGCAGGGUCCUCGAGUGGCGAACGGGUGAGUAACACGUGGGUGAUCUGCCCUGCACUUCGGGAUAAGCCUGGGAAACUGGGUCUAAUACCGGAUAGGAGCCACUUUUAGUGUGAUGGUUGGAAAGUUUUUUCGGUGUAGGAUGAGCUCGCGGCCUAUCAGCUUGUUGGUGGGGUAAUGGCCUACCAAGGCGGCGACGGGUAGCCGGCCUGAGAGGGUGGACGGCCACAUUGGGACUGAGAUACGGCCCAGACUCCGACGGGAGGCAGCAGUGGGGAAUUUUGCACAAUGGGCGCAAGCCUGAUGCAGCGACGCCGCGGGGGGGAUGACGGCCUUCGGGUUGUAAACUCCUUUCGCUAGGGACGAAGCUUUUUGUGACGGUACCUAGAGAAGAAGCACCGGCUAACUACGUG